GUACACCUCUUGUAAUAGGAACGAGGAACAUGGUGUUGGCUUCCCAUAUGACCUAGUUUUUCUGUACUUGGCAAAGGAGGAGCUCCUGCACCAUACUCCUUCCCAUUCCCUUGAAUGAGAAAAUGUGUUCAGACUUUUGACUGCUUGUCUCUGUGCCUGUGGCCUGGAUCUGAGGGCUGCUCUGCUGCCUUGUCUCCCCACACAAAAGAGCACCUGGCCAGGCACGUAAUCCUCUCAGACCCUAGAGCCUGGAGCUCUGGGUCUCCACCUGGAGACUGCAGCUAACCGCCAACAACUUCUAGCAUCUGGACAGACGUCACUAAGUGCUAAUGACACACACAAUAACUGGAAAGAUUUCAAUUGUAUAGCUAUCCAGGGGUCUAGGCAAUGGUGUUAUUUUUGAAUAGUGCAUUAAUAUAUUCUGCACACAUUUUCGGUGAUGUUCAGGGAUUUUUCUGGGGCGUUAACGAUGAGGCAGAGAAGAGAAGGUUAGAAAGUGAAUAAGUGGUGGGGGGUGUUCAAAUCCUUCCAAGAAUCUCCCCGAAAGCUACAGAAUCUGUGCUGCUGUUUAAUACACAAAUCAGUUAUACUGUGAGCGUACACACACACGAAGACACACACACAAAAACAACUACAGUCUAAAAAGUCUUUCAGACCCCCCUGAUGCCUCUAGCCCAGUUUUUCUUGUUUUCCAGUUUCUUGUGUGCCGGCACUACUUUCUGUAAGAGCUGAGAACGGAAACAAGCCUCCAGAGAACCGCUAAGGCACUGAAUUCCUAUUAACAUCACACACAAAUUAACUAUUACGCAACCAGAGGUUACAUCGUAGUUUCCAAUGGUAAUACAUUUCUGAUAACAGCGAUGUGCUAUGCAAUUAACAUAACACUAUAAAGUACAGUAUGGCCCUGAUCAUACUUCCUCUUUAUGCUAUUAUUCCACUCCCUAAUAAUAAAGUAAUUAAACUUAUAUGUUAGAGAUGAUGUUAGAGCUGUGAUUUUAGUGUUCCAAGCCAAUGCUACAGUAACACAAGAUACAUAAAAAAAGAUUUUGUAAAUCAUGUUCUUAUAUACUAGCUUCUACUGUAGAAUUACACCAUUUCUAUGGUUGAGAAAUGUCAUUGUACUGAUGGAACCACUUUGAAACUUGAGUUUGAAAUGCAAAGCUAAGCAAAAAAACAAGACUGUAGAGAUUUGGAGGUGAAACAGCUGAAUAUUAUGAUGCACAAUCUGAAGAGCAAAAUAAUUCAGAUAUAGGUCUGUUUGGUUCACUUGAUCCAGACCAAAGAAAAAAUAAGUUCCAUUGUUGUCUUUUACUUCUGAAACUAACCAAGGAAUGUGAAUGUGGAAACAUUUGGACUGACAAAUAACUAAUUCAUUGGGCAGUUUUAGUGAUCUCAUCCUACAUCAUCAGCUGCAGCUCCAUCAAUACAUUCAAAACCAAAUUAAAAAAUCUACUAAAAACCACUCGGCUCUGUACGCACUGAAUCUAAAUUUCAUCUAUGGUCUUUUCAUUAACGCAAAUCUUUCCUUUAAUUUGACAAGUUUACAUUAUUAAUUGCUAGUUGAC